rnacentral:snoRNA from 1 species
AGCCUAUGAUGGUGUAAGAGUAGUGGACAGAAGAGGUUUCUGAAAAAAAUUUAUUCUGAGGCU